GAGGUGGCUCUAAGUACCAUUUAAAAUGAAAUCGAAAAGUUCAGGUACUGGUUGUGAUCAAAAUUGAAGUUCAGGUAUCAUCGAUAAGAUUGAGGUAUAGUUCAGGUACCAUUUGUGAUAAUAACCAUUUUUGCUAAAUGUUUACAGAACAAAUCCUUGAUUUUUCUGAAUAAAAUAUUUAUUCACAAGAUUUCUGCACUCAAAAUAAUUAGCAGAAAAUUUAGGAUUUCUGCCAUAUUUUCCUAGUCUCAACUAGAAAAUUAAUGAAGUGAGAAACCCUAACGUUUUAACAUAAAAAGACGGCCUCCUUUGUAUUCUGAACACAAACAACUUGGCUGCUAGCUCACUUCGUUGCCCUUUUGUUUUUGGUGUUGUAGAAGAUCGUCAAGCAAUUAAAGGAAUCUGCUGCUGCUGCUUUAGUAGGGAACAAAAAAGAGCCGAGCUGUUGGAAGGGGUUUAUUGAUCUUCCUUUAUUAAUUAAUCAUGACUUUACCCACUCAUCCAUGAUUCCAUGAUUCUAUGUUCCACCGUUCUGCACGUGUAGCCCAUAGACACCUUUUUUUUUUGGGAUAACAAUCAAAAGUAUGAUUCCUCCAUCCUUGAUAAAUUGUUUGUGCCUUGACCGUAAAUUACGUUCCACCCUCUGACAUGAGCACGUGUAAUUCAAAGAUUUUUUUAUUUUUUAAUCACGUUCUGUCAUGUUCUACAUAA